rnacentral:rRNA from 1 species
GACGAACGCUGGCGGCGUGCCUAAUACAUGCAAGUAGGACGCAGUUGCGAACGGGUGAGUAACGCGUAGGUCACUCCAUAUUAGAGGGGGAUAACUAUUGGAAACGAUAGCUAAUACCGCAUACUAGUAGAUGGACCUACGUUGUAUUAGCUAGUAGGUAGGGUAAUGGCCUACCUAGGCAACCAUACAUAGCCGGACUGGGAGGGUGAUCGGGCAAAAUUGGACUGGGAAACGGCCCAGAAUUCUACGGGAGGGAGGAGUAGGGAAUCCUCGGGAAUGGGGGGAAAGCCGAACGAGGAAAGGCGGGGGAGUGGAGAAGGGUUUCGGAUCGGAAAGCUCUGGUGGUAAGGAAGCGGUACUUAACCAGAAAGGGACGGCUAACUACGUGCCAGCAGCCGCGGUAAUAC